UACGUAGGGACCAAGCGUUGUUCGGAUUUACUGGGCGUAAAGGGCGCGUAGGCGGCGCGAGUAGUCAACGGUGAAAGCCCGGGGCUCAACCCCGGGUCGGCCGUCGAUACUCUCGUGCUUGAGCACUGUAGAGGCAGGUGGAAUUCCGGGUGUAGCGGUGGAAUGCGUAGAGAUCCGGAAGAACACCGGUGGCGAAGGCGGCCUGCUGGGCAGUAGCUGACGCUGAGGCGCGACAGCGUGGGGGAGCAAACAGG
rnacentral:rRNA from 1 species